rnacentral:lncRNA from 1 species
GGGGUCGAAGUGGCAACCCAUGAAACCGAGAAUAAACGAGAGGCCUGCCCUGAGUAAAGGUGGGACCAAACCUACAUUCAUCAUCUUCUGCCCUGUUUUACAAAGGAUUUGGGGAACGUUUGGAUCUGAUCUAGAAAAAUACUUUUCUGACCUCUGGGCCAAGAGAGGACAUACAGUUUCAAAGCUUGCCUGUGUUGCAGGAAGCAGCUGUUAUAAGCAAGCAUACUACAGACCAGGCCCUUUGCACACGGCAGUGACUUGCUCGUAUCCAGGCACUGAAUUCUUGCUGCCUGUGGGAAGCUGAGCUAUUGUCGUCUGUCGAGCUGGCUCAUCACUGGGUGUGUGUGCUGGCUGAGACAAGGCACAUGAGCAUAAAUGGAGCAUGUGCACGGCCACCAUCACUAUGGAAAUCAUGACUCUGAAGGCUGGUGCUGAGUCUAAAUGAGUUGAAAUUUGAAGAACACAUCCAUCACAUAGGUUCACACUGGUUCAGGCUUGCAUCUCAUUACUGUACCACUCUGCCUAUGUAUUAUGAAUUAAUAUAUCUAAUAAAUCCUGCAAUUAUCUUGUGAACA